UCCUGCUCCCCCGAAAAAAGAAAGAAAAUACGUUUUCUGUGAGGAAAUAUCCCGCGUUUUGGGCAGGCUGUCCGAUCUCUCGCUUCUUAAUGCCGCCUCAGAGCAGCCUCGGGUCCCACAGCAGCCCCUGAGGCGGGGCGGAGGGGCUCCGGGGGGCUCCUGCUUCCCUCUGCACUCUGAGCCCCUGCUCUAACGAAACUUACCUAAACCAUGUAACAUUAAUGUAAAUGGGUUUAAUUGCCGCGUAUUUAAGCCAUGAAGCCGGACUGAACAAUCUGUUAAAACUUGGCCUGUUCCCAAGCCAUUGACACCAUCCAGCUUCCCCGCGCCAUGGGGGGGGAAUAGGGGGAAGGGGGUGUCCAAAUACGUUUUGAUACAGGAGUUUUCAAUGUACCAGGUAAAACAUCUCCCUGAACCCGGCUGCUUUUAACGAACCACCCGGUUCCUUUUGUUUGCUGCACGUUUGCAACUCAUUCAAACAAGUUUUAGAAAGUUUGGGGUUUGAGCUGUUAACUUCCUUCGGAGCGGGAGACUAAUGCAUGCAAAAUACUUAGUUACAAUUUAUGCGAAAGGCACCGAUCUGUAAAAGCAUUUUCUACUUUCACAAAGGAUUUUCCUGUUACUUGUGUUCCGGUCAGAAAAUUAAAAAAAAAAAAAAAAAGCGAAAGAAAAAAAAAUACACACACCAAAAAAAAAAAAAAACUUGGGGGAGAGAUAAGGUCUGGAAAACAAUCUGGAAUUGCCAGGCUGUUGGUGGGAGCUCUGCGGGGCUGGCGUCAGGAAGUCUGCGCCGCCUUCUAUUACUGUUGAUCCAGCUUUGUGCAGCUGCACUCAGUACAAUUAGCUUGUAGAAACAAUCCUGCUGUAGGCAGCCUCUUCCCUUCAAAGUGCUUUUCUAUACUGAUCCCCUCACAUCAUGAUGCUGGAAAUCAAGUCACAAGCCGACCACUGUUUGGCCAACAUCAUCUGUGGGAAUUCAUUAACCUCCAUCCCAGAGAUGCAACAAGAGAUUGUUUGUCCAGAACUAAACUUACAGCUUAAUAUGAUGUAGCCCAUACAGGAAAAAACCUGUGUCCCCAUUUCUUUUUUUCUUUUUCUUUUUUUUUUUUUUUUCCUGGUCAAUAACAAGAAACACAUUGUGCAGCUUUUUCUCUUCUUUUUUUCUUUUUUUUUUUUUUUCUUCAGGGGGUGGGGAACGGAGCUGAAACCAGGCAUGAGCCGGCUCCUGCUAAAACUUUGCGAUCGAACUGCUUUUUGGUUCAUCGGGCUGCAGUUUCCAUAGAAUCAACUUAUCCCUGCGAUCAUCUUGUUGGGUGCACUUUGCAAGCUCAUUUCCCGUCUGAGUUUGCUCCGCUGCUCUCAGAUGCUGCAGCUGACACAUUUCCUCUCCGUGCACUUUGCACCCACCUCAUCCUUGCCCAGAUGCUCAGGGCUGAUUGUGCCUAAAAGGGGGUUUCAUCACACUCCGCAGCUGCCUUGGGGGAGGGCAAUUUUUUAUCUUGUUUUACAUUUUAUUUCCACUUUCCCCGCUCCAGUGUUCCUCUCCAUGCCAUGAAGCAGGCCCUCCUUGUCCCCAUGCCCCCAGUGGAGGAGUGCUGGCUGGCUGGGAUACAGCUGCGGCCACAAGCCCUCGGCAGUACGCCUUUGCAUUCUGCCCAUGGCUCACAGAGCCCCUGUGCUGGUCCGGGUGGAGUGGAUCCACGGGUGGGACACCACUGCUGUGCACCACAGGCCGGGAAGCUGUGUGAGCAGCCCCAGAGCAGACGCAGGUGACAUCUCCCUGCUGCAGGGGCUGCUUGUGAACAACCAUGCUGCUGGGAGCAUGAGUCCUGCUUCCUGACACCCCUGGCUGCUGGUGGCUGGGCUCUACACGUCCCACUGGCAGCACCGCUCGACAGUAGGGCUGGUGUCACUGCUCCUCACCUCAGGUACCUCAUUUGGCUGCAAGCAUGCAGCCAAGUGCACCUACCCCACUCUGAACCCCUCUGUUCUUCACAGAACACAUGGAUGUAUUUUCUGACCCCUAUUUCCAAAACCUGUCCUUUUCUGGGCCAUGUUUGCAAAUGCCACGGAUCUGCCAACUGUAAGAUUUUCUGUCCCCCCACUAUGCUUUGGAAUAAUGUUGUUUUUUUACAGUAUCAUUCCUGUCACCCCCACAUUUAGGCAUCGCUCAUCUGCUGCUGUUACAUUCUAAAGCUGCAUGUUGUUGGAGGCUUGGGAAGUAUUGUGGCAAAACAUGUAUUUUCUCACUUUUUUUCCCACAUCUGGUUUUUGUCAGAAGUGCUGGACUUCAGGAUAGGCAGGCCUUUGUUCUGAUUCAGUUUUGACAUGUGUAUCAUUUUGUGAUUACACUCCCGAACUACUGUUCUGCAGGAACGCCUUUUACUCAGACUGCAUUUUCUAGCACCACCCUGCAAAGAGGGGUGUUUCUACCUGAAUUGUGGGGUUUUGCUGGGACAUUUCUAUCAAGUCCAAGUUCAGACACUUCAGUUCUAAUAUUUUCUUGUCUUUUGUAGGAUUUCUUGUUCCUGUAAGUAGGAUCAGUGCCCUGAAGGCAUUUCUGCAUAAACUGCCAUCUGCAAAGGGCUGUUUCUUGCCUGAUGCUACUUGAAGAAAACUGCCAUUAAAUCUUUCUGGAAGCAGCAUCUAUCUCUCUGGCAUAGUUUGAAAGGGACCAACUUGCAGAAAAAAAAUGGAAGUUCUGUGCUGGUAACAGGCAUGAGAAGGUUCACCUGAAAGAAUGCACCUUUCUAUUCUCCGUAAGCGUCCAGAAGACCUUCUGCAGCAGCAUCCACUGCAGUGCAAUCACACAGUGUCACUCUUUGUCAGUGGCAGGAAUUAUGUUAUAUUUCAGUCUCUCACGAAGUCCAGAUGACUAUAGUGAAGUCUUCCAGAGUUACUCGUUCAAAAGCAAUGUUUUUGGAGUUCAGUUGAGACACUUCAUACAGAUGUGUUGACUCCCUGUGUUUGUGUGCUUCUGAAAAUGUUUAGGCUUUCCAGACUCUUAGAAAGAUUUCCGGUCAUUUUUCUACUAAAGUAACCCUUGAAAAUAUAGAACAAUUAUAAAGGUUGAGUGUGCAUUGGACAUUCAUCCCCCUCAAACCACCAAAACUAUGGUGACUCUUCUGCUGUCUGAGGGUCUACUGUGUCCCAUGAAACUUAAGAAAAAUGUGUCUUAAAAUCUCCUUACAUAUUUUUGUGGAGCAUUUUUAAUAAGUAAGCGUGGGAUUCACCUCAGAUUAAACUACCAGCGUUCAGAGGCUUGAUCUAGUUGUAGGAGUCCAGCACUAUUGGAAGUGCUCAGUUCUCCCAUCUGGACUCCAGCUGCUGCUCCAUAUUGGUAAAGGAGUCACAUACCUGGAGUGCCAUCCUUGCCAGUCCUGCAUGGAUUUCUUGGGCACCUAAUUGCACCUCAGGUGACACAAACAAUAGUCAGUAGACAUCAACAUCUACUCGGUGCACUUGAGAGUUGUCUGCAGGGAAUGUCUGCUUCUGGUGUUGCUGCUACCUGGUACAGGUACCCAGGCUCUGCUGUGGUUGUAGUUAACAUGGCUAAAUCAGCUAAAUGCGAGUGAACUCGAGUAUCUUCUUCUUGACACGCCUCUGACUGUUAGCUGUGUGAUCAGUUGGAGUCCAACUGAGGUUUCUGAGGUGACAUGAAACUAAGCAAGUUGCAAAAGAAGUAAACAAACUGUAAAGAAGAGAAAGUAGGGGCUUGGUGCCUGGUCCAUCUGUGAGUUCCAGACUGAGGGAUAACUUGCUGAUGUGAAGAUCACUGCAGGAUCAGGUCUUAUGAAGGAAGCACCCCAUCUUCUCUUAAUGACAGCAUCGUUAAUAGUGCAGAUGCAGUCGCCCUCCACAGCCUUCUGCAUCAGCAAGUUCCAGAAGUUCAGGUGUAGUUGGAUGCAUGUUGUGCUAAAGUGCAGGAGGGGGGAUCAUCUGUGCCAUAUCUUUCUGCUUUCUAAUACAAAAUGCUGCGGUCUACCACGACAGGGUCUUGACUCACACAGAAAAAAAGUGUUGGGUUAUAUGUGGACCAGAACCUGAAUACAUAUUGAUAAACCAUCUCAAAAAGCUACACUAACUAACACAAGAAAUAAGUCACCAAUUUCUGCGUACCUUGUGUAUGAAGAAAACCAAUUCCAUAUUUAUCAGAACACCAGACACUCCUUCUUCCACCUCUCCUUCUCAGGUAAAUUCUCUUUAGCAAUUCAUUUCUGUUUCACCUUGAAGGCUUACAGUACCCUGGAAAUCCUCAUUAAAUGCUAGUGAAUAACUUAAAGAAAAAAACAGUGCUGUUUGUCUUGCUGUGUCUUUAAAUCUAACCUUUAUUGUUUAAGUUGCAUUUGAGGGGGGGGGAAGUGUCAACUUGUUGAAAGAUGAGUGCACUCUAUUAUGC